GUAGGUGAACCUGCGGAAGGAUCAUUAUCGAGCGAAUCCAAAACGAACGAAAAAGUCUCCCAACGUGCAUACCUUCCAUUUGCAUGUUGUUGUGAGCCACAUGGAAACUCGUACACACGUGGUGGCAGCCGUCUGCUGUGCUUUUUUUAGGCAGACAAUGGCUUACGAGUGGCCGUGUGCUUGUUGAACAACGGUGACCAAUUUGGCGUCUACGCCGUAUCUAGCUUCUGCCUGGACCGUCAGUUGCGAUGAAAGAUGCGGAGAAAGUUCCUUUGUUUUGGCUGCUAAUCAUCAUUGAUGAGCAGUAGCUUAAGGCAGAGUUGAGCAGACUUAAUGAGCCACGCUAGGUGGCCGCCAAAACCCAAAACACAACCGGUCUAUUUGACAUUGUUAUUUCAUUGUAUGUGUUGAAAAUGUACAAAUCUUGGCGGUGGAUCACUCGGUUCGUGGAUCGAUGAAGAACGCAGCCAGCUGCGAUAAAUAGUGCGAAUUGCAGACACAUUGAGCACUAAGAAUUCGAACGCACAUUGCGCUAUCGGGUUCAUUCCCGAUGGCACGUCUGGCUGAGGGUCGAAUUACGGUGAACUGUCUUCACGGUUUUUCUGGACUGUGAAGCAUUCGGCAAGCAAUUGCUGUUGUGUUGUUGGUGAUUCUAUCAUGGACAAUAUGACGAGCGGUUCCUUGCUUAGUGAUGACAAAAGAAGACGUCAACACCGAAUCUACUAUACUACUAAUACUAGUAUAUAGGUGAGGUGCUUUUGGUGGUCACAAAAGUGACAAGUAUGCCAUUUCAUAGGGGCAACAACCAGCAUACGUGAUAAGUUGGCUGGUUGAUGAAACGGCAACGGAAUGACGGACGUCUAUGUGAUCAAAAAUGAUACUAUUUGACCUCAGCUCAGUCGUGAUUACCCGCUGAAUUUAAGCAUAUAAUUAAGCGGAGGAAAAGAAACUAA
rnacentral:rRNA from 1 species